UUUGGUUAGAGGUUUUUGUGAGGACCCAAAUGCAGAGGCAGGGAGGCUGAGAUCAGGAGCUAUUUGGAUGUUCAGAAUGAGUCGUCUGAGCUGAAAGUAACAGCCGACUGGGAUAUGGGGUUAUGGUGAAAGGUUUCAGCUGCUGGGUCGAUCAUUUCUCCUGUAGACACGGUUUAUUGGAAGCAUGUGAGCUGUGACUGGAUCGUUCAACAGGACAUGGCGGUGAGUCUGCCUGAGAGUCAGAUGCCCACAGGCUCACCCGACGAGUGGGUGGACUGGUUCCUGUACCGUCUGCAGCUUGAUCCAUGGAUGCUGGGCGGUUUGGUGGUCAUCGGCUUGUUUGCAAUGGGGACUCUUUCACUGGUGCUCUUUGCUCU